UACGUGAGGACCGAGCGUUGUCCGGAAUCAUUGGGUCGUAAAGAGCGUGGUAGGCGGCUUGCUAAGUCAUUGCGUGAAAAUCUCGGGGCUCAACCCCGAGCGGUCGUGGGAAACUGGCAGGCUAGAGUGCGGGAGAGGAGAAUGGAAUUCCUGGUGUAGCGGUGAAAUGCGCAGAUAUCAAGGAAGACACCCGUGGCGAAGGCGGUUCUCUGGGCCGUAACUGACGCUGAGGAGCGAAAGCAUGGGGAGCGAACAGG
rnacentral:rRNA from 1 species